UACAGAGGUCCCAAGCGUUGUUCGGAUUCACUGGGCGUAAAGGGUGCGUAGGCGGUCGGGUAAGUCUGAUGUGAAAUCUCACAGCUUAACUGUGAAACUGCAUUGGAUACUAUCCGGCUAGAGGAAUGGAGGGGAGACUGGAAUACUUGGUGUAGCAGUGAAAUGCGUAGAUAUCAAGUGGAACACCAGUGGCGAAGGCGAGUCUCUGGACAUUUCCUGACGCUGAGGCACGAAAGCGUGGGGAUCAAACAGG
rnacentral:rRNA from 1 species